rnacentral:lncRNA from 1 species
UACAUCAUGGUCGCUAAGAGUCUUUUCAUGUGUGUCUUCAUUACCGCCAGCUUCCUAGGCCAGGCUUCCGAAUCCAAUUUACCCGAGCUCAAAACCUACUUGCGGGAGCACCAAGACAGCAUGAAGGCACUAUGGCAAUUCGGUUUUUUUGCUCUCUAUCAGCGGUCAUAUCAGUACGACCCUGCGUAUGAUUGGGAUGGAGAAUGCAUUUACGGCCGAAAUUAUGAGUGCUACCCCGAAGAAUCAUACUGCAUGGGAUUUGUGCUACAUCGGCGCCCUUCUACAAGCAAACAGUUGCGAAGUGUGGGUGCAAUUAGACAAAGUCAACGAAGUCAGCAGUUUGUGCUUCUUCAUCUACGACCUGCUGUGUGGGCCGGAAAAGCACAUAACCUACGAUCCAGAAACUUGUCGCAAUGCAACAAUCACUUAAUAAA